rnacentral:rRNA from 1 species
UGCGAAUGGCUCAUUAAAUCAGUUAUCGUUUAUUUGAUAGUACCUUACUACUUGGAUACCUGUGGUAAUUCUAGAGCUAAUACAUGCUAAAAACCCCGACUUCGGAAGGGGUGUAUUUAUUAGAUAAAAAACCAAUGCCCUUCGGGGCUCCUUGGUGAUUCAUAAUAACUUCUCAGAUCGCAUGGCCUUGCGCCGGCGACGGUUCAUUCAAAUUUCUGCCCUAUCAACUUUCGAUGGUAAGGUAUUGGCUUACCAUGGUUUCUACGGGUAACGGGGAAUUAGGGUUCGAUUCCGGAGAGUUAGCCUGAGAAACGGCUAACACAUCCAAGGAAGGCAGCAGGCGCGCAAAUUACCCAAUCCUGAUACAGGGAGGUAGUGACAAUAAAUACUGAUACAGGGCUCUUUUGGGUCUUGUAAUCGGAAUGAGUACAAUUUAAACCUCUUAACGAGGAACAAUUGGAGGGCAAGUCUGGUGCCAGCAGCCGCGGUAAUUCCAGCUCCAAUAGCGUAUAUUAAAGUUGUUGCAGUUAAAAAGCUCGUAGUUGAACCUUUGGCCUGGCUGGCAGGUCCGCCUCACCGCGUGCACUUGUCCGGCCGGGCCUUUUCUUCUGGAGAACCGCAUGCCCUUCACUGGGUGUGUUGGGGACCAGGACUUUUACUUUGAAAAAAUUAGAGUGUUCAAAGCAGGCCUUUGCUCGAAUAUUACAGCAUGGAAUAAUAAAAUAGGACGUGCGGUUCUAUUUUGUUGGUUUCUAGGACCGCCGUAAUGAUUAAUAGGGACAGUCGGGGGCAUCAGUAUUCAAUUGUCAGAGGUGAAAUUCUUGGAUUUAUUGAAGACUAACUACUGCGAAAGCAUUUGCCAA